rnacentral:rRNA from 1 species
UACAGAGGUCUCAAGCGUUGUUCGGAAUUACUGGGCAUAAAGGGUGCGUAGGCGGCUUGUUAAGUCAGGGGUGAAAUCCCACGGCCCAACCGUGGAACUGCCUUUGAUACUGGCGAGCUUGAGUGCGUGAGGGGUAACCGGAACGAGUAGUGUAGCGGUGAAAUGCGUAGAUAUUACUCGGAAGGCCAAAGGCGAAGGCAGGUUACUGGUACGCAACUGACGCUGAGGCACGAAAGCGUGGGGAGCAAACAGG